rnacentral:rRNA from 1 species
AUUGAACGCUGGCGGCAGGCUUAACACAUGCAAGUCGAGCGGGGGAAGGUAGCUUGCUACCGGACCUAGCGGCGGACGGGUGAGUAAUGCUUAGGAAUCUGCCUAUUAGUGGGGGACAACAUCUCGAAAGGGAUGCUAAUACCGCAUACGUCCUACGGGAGAAAGCAGGGGAUCUUCGGACCUUGCGCUAAUAGAUGAGCCUAAGUCGGAUUAGCUAGUUGGUGGGGUAAAGGCCUACCAAGGCGACGAUCUGUAGCGGGUCUGAGAGGAUGAUCCGCAACACUGGGACGGAGACACGGCCCAGACCUCUACGGGAGGCAGCAGUGGGGAAUAUUGGACAAUGGGGGGAACCCUGAUCCAGCCAUGCGGCGUGUGUGAAGAAGGCCUUAUGGUUGUAAAGCACUUUAAGCGAGGAGGAGGCUACUCUAGUUAAUACCUAGGGAUAGUGGACGUUACUCGCAGAAUAAGCACCGGCUAACUCUGUGCCAGCCGCCGCGGUAA